rnacentral:tRNA from 1 species
GCGCCCUUAGCUCAGUUGGAUAGAGCAACGACCUUCUAAGUCGUGGGCCGCAGGUUCAAAUCCUGCAGGGCGCGCCA